UAUUUCCUGCCGCGUUCGAGGGUGCGCCGGGUAUUUCCUGAACCUAUAUUUACCCCGGGCGUUGUAUCUGUUAUUUGGUGUGCAAACCCGCAGUUUAGCGGGGAGCCUGAAAAAUAUCAGCGCAAGCCCACUUGAACCUUCGGUUCAAGGACGAAGGUGUAUCACGGCGCAGGUGGGAAAUGC
rnacentral:other from 1 species